GGCCACAUCACAUUGAAACACCGAGUCCCAAACACUCACCAAAGUUAAGCAAUUUCGAGCCUGAUCAGUAUCUAGAUGGGUGACCAUAUGGGAAUACCAGGUGCUGUAAG